GACGAACGUUGGCGGCGUGCUUAACACAUGCAAGUCGAGCGGAAAGGCCCUUCGGGGUACUCGAGCGGCGAACGGGUGAGUAACACGUGAGUAACCUGCCCCAGACUUUGGGAUAACCCUCGGAAACGGGGGCUAAUACCGGAUACGACACAGCUUCGCAUGGGGUCUGUGUGGAAAGUUUUUCGGUUUGGGAUGGGCUCGCGGCCUAUCAGCUUGUUGGUGGGGUGAUGGCCUACCAAGGCGACGACGGGUAGCCGGCCUGAGAGGGCGACCGGCCACACUGGGACUGAGACACGGCCCAGACUCCUACGGGAGGCAGCAGUGGGGAAUAUUGCACAAUGGGCGGAAGCCUGAUGCAGCGACGCCGCGUGAGGGAUGACGGCCUUCGGGUUGUAAACCUCUUUCAGCAGGGACGAAGCGUAAGUGACGGUACCUGCAGAAGAAGCGCCGGCCAACUACGUG
rnacentral:rRNA from 1 species